GAUGAACGCUGGCGGCGUGCCUAAUACAUGCAAGUCGAGCGAACAGACGAGGAGCUUGCUCCUCUGACGUUAGCGGCGGACGGGUGAGUAACACGUGGAUAACCUACCUAUAAGACUGGGAUAACUUCGGGAAACCGGAGCUAAUACCGGAUAAUAUAUUGAACCGCAUGGUUCAAUAGUGAAAGACGGUUUUGCUGUCACUUAUAGAUGGAUCCGCGCCGCAUUAGCUAGUUGGUAAGGUAACGGCUUACCAAGGCAACGAUGCGUAGCCGACCUGAGAGGGUGAUCGGCCACACUGGAACUGAGACACGGUCCAGACUCCUACGGGAGGCAGCAGUAGGGAAUCUUCCGCAAUGGGCGAAAGCCUGACGGAGCAACGCCGCGUGAAUGAUGAAGGUCUUCGGAUCGUAAAACACUGUUAUUAGGGAAGAACAAAUGUGUAAGUAACUAUGCACGUCUUGACGGUACCUAAUCAGAAAGCCACGGCUAACUACGUG
rnacentral:rRNA from 1 species